rnacentral:lncRNA from 1 species
CGGCCGCCAUGUUCACCUCCCAGGACCGCUUCCGAGUUCCAUGGAGGCUAAGUGGAGUCUUGGUGAUGACAGGCCUCCAAGGUGACAAGUUCACAGUGCUGUGAACUGUCUACUCCACACCAAUGGGAGGAGACAGGUCCCUGGGAAGUAUCCGGUGCAUGCAAUCCUUCCAAGCUAAAGCCAGAGCAAAGGUUUUGAACUCUAAGAAGUUCUUGUUGAAUGGCUGCCACAGCUUCAUGCUGACUCGUCCAUCACCCAUCUUCUGGUAACCCAGUCAUCCUGAGUGAAUGAAUGUCCUCUGGAGGAACCAGGUUGAUGAUGGACCAUCAUCAGCCUCCCUGACUAUGGAGUCAGUCACGGAGAAGACAGAAAUGCCAUGUUGGUGGUCCGCAUGGAAGUCAGGGUGAAGUGCCAGCUUGAACAGACACGGAAGA